rnacentral:rRNA from 1 species
UACAGAGGGGGCAAGCGUUAUUCGGAAUUAUUGGGCGUAAAGGGCGCGUAGGCGGCCUGGCAAGUGACGGGUGAAAGCCCUCGGCUCAACCGAGGAACUGCCUGUCAUACUGCCGGGCUUGAGUCCGGGAGAGGUGAGUGGAAUUCCCAGUGUAGCGGUGAAAUGCGUAGAUAUUGGGAGGAGCACCAGUGGCGAAGGCGGCUCACUGGACCGGAACUGACGCUGAGGCGCGAAAGCGUGGGGAGCAAACAGG